rnacentral:piRNA from 1 species
ACUGAUGACGUUACCUUGUGAAAUUCCUUC